UUCUUAUCAAGAGCAGGCGGAGGGACGAGCCCAAUGAAGCCCGGCAACCGGCUUGGUACAUUCAAGCACGGUGCUAAUUCUUGCAGCGGAAACGCUGAGAGAUAAGAA
rnacentral:ncRNA from 2 species